CGGGGUGGAGUAAUGUCUGGGAAACUGCCUGAUGGAGGGGGAUAACUACUGGAAACGGUAGCUAAUACCGCAUAACGUCGCAAGACCAAAGAGGGGGACCUUCGAGCCUCUUGCCAUCGGAUGUGCCCAGAUGGGAUUAGCUAGUAGGUGGGGUAACGGCUCACCUAGGCGACGAUCCCUAGCUGGUCUGAGAGGAUGACCAGCCACACUGGAACUGAGACACGGUCCAG
rnacentral:rRNA from 1 species